GGGGACAUAGCUCAGUAGGUAGAGUGCUUGUCUCACAUGCACAAGCUCCUGGGUUCAAUCCCCAACCCCA
rfam:Ictidomys tridecemlineatus contig077480, whole genome shotgun sequence.